rnacentral:tRNA from 1 species
ACCUGGCUGGCUCAGCAUUAGAGCACGUGACUCUUAAUCUCACGGUCAUGAGUUUAAGCCCCAUGCUGGGCA